CAUUGGAUCCAGGAGAUUUGAUCAUCACUGGACAUUUAAAUACCAACAAACAUUUCGUUGCCACAUUCACCAGAAAGUCACCACAAGUUCUCUGCAAUGAUGUGAAGGACAUAAGGGUGAGGCGGUUCACAUGACCUCCACCUGGACUGCAUGGGAGAAAGAUGUCUCCAUCUGCUCACCACUCCACCUGAGGAAUGCUCUUCUGUGGAUCUCUUGGCCUCGCCGUUCCCGACUGAUGAUCAGUCAGAUAGCAAUACCUCCCCUACCAAUCGGACGACUGCGUCCUUACCUCAUCGCACAGAGCAAAGGUGUAUACGGAAAAAGAAGAGGCAGAGCAGCAAGGAGGAGAGAAAGAAAGG